rnacentral:rRNA from 1 species
AAAUUACCAAGGAGCAGGUAUCAGGCACAACCCGUUAGCCCAAAACACCUUGCUAUGCCACACCCACACGGGCACCCAGCAGUGAUAAAUAUUAAGCAAUGAGUGAAAACCAACUAAAGCUCGACUUAGUUAUGAUUAUUAGAGCCGGUAAACCUCGUGCCAGCCACCGCGGUUAUACGAGGGGCCCAAAACAACGGAGAUCGGCGUAAAUUGUGACUAGAGUACCUACUUAUAUCAUUGGAAAAUAAACAAAAACUCAACCGUAAAACCCGAGUCAAAAGAAACAUACUUUUCCAACCACAAAGAAACUUGAACCCACGAAGACUAAGAAACAAACUAGGAUUAGAUACCCUACUAUGCUUAGUUAUUAACACGAUACCAAAAAACACCGGUAUCCGCCAGAAGAUUACACGCGAAAAGCUUAAAACUCAAAGGACUUGGCGGUGCUCCGUAUUCGCCUUAGAGGAGCCUGUCCUAUAAUCGAUAACCCACGUUUUACCUUACCAUCUUUUGUCAAUACAGCCUAUAUACCGCCGUCGCAAACUUACCCCAUGAGGGUGCAACAGUAAGUAAAAUAGUAAUACACUAACACGUCAGGUCAAGGUGUAGCUAAUAAGAUGGAAGAGAUGGGCUACAUUUUCUAAAACAGAACACACGGCAAAGAGCACUGAAAUAUGCUCUAAAAGGUGGAUUUAAUAGUAAGAUAGAAAAGAAAACCUAUCUAAAAC